AGUGAACGCUGGCGGUAGGCCUAACACAUGCAAGUCGAACGGCAGCACAGUAAGAGCUUGCUCUUACGGGUGGCGAGUGGCGGACGGGUGAGGAAUACAUCGGAAUCUACUUUUUCGUGGGGGCUAACGUAGGGAAACUUACGCUAAUACCGCAUACGACCUACGGGUGAAAGCAGGGGAUCUUCGGACCUUGCGCGAAUGAAUGAGCCGAUGUCGGAUUAGCUAGUUGGCGGGGUAAAGGCCCACCAAGGCGACGAUCCGUAGCUGGUCUGAGAGGAUGAUCAGCCACACUGGAACUGAGACACGGUCCAGACUCCUACGGGAGGCAGCAGUGGGGAAUAUUGGACAAUGGGCGCAAGCCUGAUCCAGCCAUGCCGCGUGGGUGAAGAAGGCCUUCGGGUUGUAAAGCCCUUUUGUUGGGAAAGAAAAGCAGCAGAUGAAUACCCCGAUGUUCUGACGGUACCCAAAGAAUAAGCACCGGCUAACUUCGUG
rnacentral:rRNA from 1 species